rnacentral:rRNA from 1 species
UACGUAGGGGGCAAGCGUUGUCCGGAUUUAUUGGGCGUAAAGAGCGUGUAGGCGGCCAGGUAGGUCAGCUGUGAAAACUCGAGGCUCAACCUCGAGACGCCGGUUGAAACCCCCGAACUAGAGUCCGGAAGAGGAGAGUGGAAUUCCUGGUGUAGCGGUGAAAUGCGCAGAUAUCAGGAAGAACACCCGUGGCUAAGGCGGCUCUCUAGUACGGUACUGACGCUGAGAUGCGAAAGCGUGGGAGCGAACAGG